ACGGUCCUUCUAUUUGCUACUUCAGCCGUCGAUUCAGAAAAGAAACUCUAAGAGCAGCAUUAGCGGUGGUAUGUACAAGAGUCUCUGAACAUUAAUUUAAUAGAUUUAUUAGAUAACAGAGGAAAGAGAAAAAAAAAAUAGAAGAGAUGGAGAGGGACGAUUCUUGACAAAGAAACGUUUACCUAGGUUAGAGAAGCGUCUCUGUAACGUGUCAUCACACAACUGACUUAACUUUUUUCUAUUUAUGUUUUAAUUAAAAUAUUAAACUAUAUUAUUAUUAUUUGUCUGGAGUUACUGCUUCAGAAAUUCUAACGUUGCUGAUGCUCUAAAGAUCUCGAUUCCAUUUCCACUGUCAAGUAACGCGCAAGAGUUAUGUCAUUUAUUGAUGAAAACCCAAAAACCCCCACGGUCCGUUCUUCAUUACAGAUUUAUCUCGGUGGUCUUUACCUCUUUAUUCAUAAUUCAUUUCUCUGACUUGAAGGCCGUCCGCUGCAAGGCUGUAGUUCAGAGCAGACUCUGGAGGUCAGUUGAUGGCCAUCGAUAUGCUCCUUCUUGAUGCCAAGAAGUGAAAGUUGGUUCUUAACGAGCAGGUGAGUUAGCUAGGAAGCAGCUACUGUCCAUGUCUGCACUUCAGAAGGUAAUUGUUUUUGAAGCUACUUAACAUAUUGUAUUCUCAAAUUAGUUUAUUAGUGUCACAUAAUAGGCCGAGAGAUAUCGGGUCUAUAGACAUUGGCGAUUGAGGUCUUAAUGGAUUUUCUGGUACAGCAAUUGUUUUAUUGUUAAACCUUUUUAUCCUCAAAAUUUGGUAAUAACCUUGAAGUAUUCAUUUCUAGAUGAUAAUCUUAUUUUUUUACUUUUAUGAGAUGAAAAAGAUUAACGAGCGUUUAUGGGUAUGAUAAUGUUACUUAUUUGCUUUGCAACUGUUGUAGGACUGUGGAUGUAGACACAAUGGGAAGAAUGCUUUGUUAUUCUAUCAUUUUCUUAUAAUACUCAAUUCUUAUUUUGUGAUAUAUAUCUAAUUGUUGAAAUAUGCUUAUUUUAAAGAGUGGUCUUUACUUUCGGGUGAACCAGCUUCCGAUCCUUCUCAGGGACACCCCGUAAUGGAAGUAAAAAUCAACCAGUGAACAAACUUUUCGAGUUAAGUAUUAGGAUAGUGGUGAAGACAUCGACAUUGACGUCUCCAGCUCCCAAACAAAGGAAGUUUUGUAACUUUGUAUUAUAUGUCAGACUUAUUGUCAUGUAUUUUAUAUAUCUUGCUACGUCAAUCUCGGUCUCUCUUGAUCAAUAUCAGAUACUGAUGUUUGGGGUCUCCAUAUUUUGGUUCUCUUUAUGGCUUCUCUAAAAUUGGUGUUGUUUGUUGCAGAAUCACAUAUUGUGUUGUUUUUUUACUUUAGCUGCUUUGGUACUUGGUAGUAAGUUACGAUAUGGUUGCGGAUGUGAGAAAUUUAACUUUAUAAGAUGUUGCUCCCUGUUUGAGUAAAACAUUGUUUUGUUACUGGUUAAACUAUUAGAAAAUUUUAUUGGAGUCUGAUUCUGAAACUUUUCAAGAAGCUUAGUAUGUAUAAUGGCUUGCCAACAUGUUUUACUUUACUUUUUUUAAUUGUUCACUGUUUUGAAUUCUCAGAGGAUUUUGACGAAGCGAUGUUAUACCAAAGAACAAACCUGAUCAGGACGUCGGUGCCCAAAACUCCACAGUGUUCACAAGAUAUUGUUGGGAGUACUUUAACCUUCCAAUUGAACCUAUUCCACUUCAACUUGACUGCAAAGCAUCAGAGCUUCACUGUUUCCCGCAUUUAGGAACCAAUCAGCGUCCACCGCAGUCUAAUUUGGAGGUUCUGGGUAGGACGAAUAACAAUCUGGGAGAUGAUAUGUAAGGUGCUGGAGCAGUCAAAAAGAGCAACGUUCCUUGAGUUAAAAUAACCUUUGUGGAUCAUGGUACCUAUGUUGGCGAUGAAGCGGUUGAAGGUGGACUAGCUGAUUGAUGUAGCGUACACAUUGAGCUUUGGUGUUCUAUUUCCUUUUCUAAAUUAUCUAUGUUUUCCUUUUAAGUUUACGUUUAGGUUUUCCUUUAUUCUUUUACUUUAGGAUUUAUGUCCCUAUAUAAUGUGAUCUCUUGGUUUUGUAAGAGACACAACUUUUGAAUUAUUGAUUAAUAAACUAGAGCUUUGGUGUUAACAAACUCUUGAAUCCUUACUUCCGGGCAUUCUCUAAGAAUUCAACGGCUUUAAGAAGGCUUAGAUAGCGGGUAUUCUCAGAAUUCAACGAUAUCUUCGCAUUAUCGGUUACUUGACGGUACUUCCGCUCCGUCAAUUGGUAUCAGAGACUUUUAAUUGCGAUUCUACUCGUGAUUAUCGAUCUUAGGUUUCAAUGGCACCUCGUCCAAACGAAUGGACACAGAUGCAACAAUUCUUGGAAGAUUUUCAGGAGAACUUUCAAGACAAUAUGAGACGUACGAUGGCUGAAGCAAUUCAAGCCGGCGUCCAGGCCGGAGUUCAAGCCGCGUUGGCUGCCAACCCCGCGAAUGCCGCCCCAGCAGCUCAACAGCAUCGUCAGCAACGGCGCGAUAACCCUGUUUUCGAAGAAAUCAACGACGAUUCCGACGUUGAGAACCCCUUCGGCGACAACAAUCAACACCAAAAUUUCAACAACGGCCGACGAAACAGGAAUGAUGAUGAUACACGAUGGAUUUUCGGUAUCAAGGUAGACAUUCCCGAGUUCCAUGGUGGUUCACAACCUGAAGAACUUCUUGACUGGUUCGUGGCGGUCGACGAGUUCAUUGAAUUCAAAGAGAUUCCAGCACACAAACAAGUUCCCUACGCUACAACUCGAUUCCGCAGUCAUGCUGCGUCUUGGUGGAAUCAACUAAAAAUCUCGCGUCACCGUCGCGGAAAAGACAAAAUCGUCUCUUGGGAUAAACUUAAGAAACAUUUGCGCAAAACAUUUAUCCCGUAUAAUUUUGAGCGAUUGCUGUUUCAGAAGUUUCAUAAUAUUCGACAAGGCAACCGCUCGGUAGAUGACUAUGCGAAUGAGUUUUAUCAACUACUAACU